rnacentral:lncRNA from 1 species
AGAACCCUCUAGCUAGUCCGUCACCUAUCCUUUCACCUUAAUUCAUGUUUUUGUCAAUUCUGUAAUUUAUUUAAGUUUAAUUUACUUCUCGUCAAAACCAAACCCCCCCAUUAUUAAAUUAUAUUAUUUAGUUAGUGUUCAUUGUUGUUAGUCUUUUAAUUCAAUUUCCGUCCAUUUUAGUUCCUAGUGUCUAAUUUGAUUGUUUUCAUUAUUUUGAGUCAUUCUAAGUGUGUUUCGAGUUAUUAGAGUUUUUAGCCUAGUUUUGUGUCAUUGAGUCUUGUUUAAUAUUUUUAAAUUAAUUUAGAAUAGAUUAGCAAUCCCUCCUAAUCCCCGGCCUAGAACGAUACCCUACUUACAUCUAUACUACAAUUGUCAAAAAGUGGGUUUAAUUUUGUGUGUUAACUUAUUUCUCACAUCAAAUUUUGGCGCCGUUGCCGGGGAUUAGCAAAUUUGCUAAUCCCCCAUUGUUUCUUUUUAUUUCUUUUUCGUGUCUUUUGUUUUAGUUACUGACUUUGUUUCUUUUCUUGUCUUUUGUUUUUAGUUUCUGUUUUUGUUUUGUUUUGUUUAUUUUACUUUUGAUAUUUGAUUUAGUUUUCUUUCUUUGAUUUUAGGUACUAGAGAAGUAAGACAUGGAUUUUGCUAGCAUUCAAGCUCAAUUGGCAAAUCUUACUUCUCAAAUGUCGCAGUAUGCCGAAAGGACCACAAUGCAAAAUGUCCCUAUAUUUGGUGCAUCUUAUAGGCAAGGAUAUCAAGCCAAUCAAUGUUCACAAAAAGAUUGGAGUGAUCAUUCAAACUCUAUGUGGUGGGAAGCUCAACAAGUUCAACUUGAAGGAUAUUGGCAGCCAUAUGAGGAGUUCUAUUCAGGACCUAUGUAGCCACCACAACUUCAUAUACAAUAUGCCCAAUCAAACUCAGAUUCGUCAAUAGAUUACAAUCAAAUUUUUGAUGAAUUAAAUUCUUUGGUGCAGGGCUCACAAAAUCAAGCCAAGGAGGCUCAACAAGAUGGAUAUU